rnacentral:rRNA from 1 species
CCACCGGGUAAUACAACCCGGUGGUUUUUCCCCCCUCACUUUGGGGAAAACCCCUGGAAAACGUGGUUUAUAACCCGGAAUAGACCUCGGGGAUCACAUUCCCGGGGGUGAAAAUUUUUUCGGGGCCAGGAUGACCCCGCGCCUAUUCAGCUUGUUGGGGGGGUAAUGGCCCUCCCAAGGGGAAGGACGGGUAACCGGCCCUGAGAGGGCGACCGGCCCCCACUGGGACUGAGACACGGCCCCAGAUUCCUACGGGAGGCAGCAGUGGGGAAUAUUGCACAAUGGGCGCAAGCCUGAUGCAGCGACGCCGCGUGAGGGAUGACGGCCUUCGGGUUGUAAACCUCUUUCACCCAUGACGAAGCGCAAGUGACGGUAGUGGGAGAAGAAGCACCGGCCAACUACGUGCCAGCAGCCGCGGUAAUACGUAGGGUGCGAGCGUUGUCCGGAAUUACUGGGCGUAAAGAGCUCGUAGGCGGUUUGUCGCGUCGUCUGUGAAAUCCCGCAGCUCAACUGCGGGCUUGCAGGCGAUACGGGCAGACUCGAGUACUGCAGGGGAGACUGGAAUUCCUGGUGUAGCGGUGAAAUGCGCAGAUAUCAGGAGGAACACCGGUGGCGAAGGCGGGUCUCUGGGCAGUAACUGACGCUGAGGAGCGAAAGCGUGGGUAGCGAACAGGAUUAGAUACCCUGGUAGUCCACGCCGUAAACGGUGGGCGCUAGGUGUGGGUUUCCUUCCACGGGAUCCGUGCCGUAGCCAACGCAUUAAGCGCCCCGCCUGGGGAGUACGGCCGCAAGGCUAAAACUCAAAGGAAUUGACGGGGGCCCGCACAAGCGGCGGAGCAUGUGGAUUAAUUCGAUGCAACGCGAAGAACCUUACCUGGGUUUGACAUGUACCGGACGACUGCAGAGAUGUGGUUUCCCUUGUGGCCGGUAGACAGGUGGUGCAUGGCUGUCGUCAGCUCGUGUCGUGAGAUGUUGGGUUAAGUCCCGCAACGAGCGCAACCCUUGUCCUGUGUUGCCAGCACGUGAUGGUGGGGACUCGCAGGAGACUGCCGGGGUCAACUCGGAGGAAGGUGGGGACGACGUCAAGUCAUCAUGCCCCUUAUGUCCAGGGCUUCACACAUGCUACAAUGGUCGGUACAGAGGGCUGCGAUACCGUGAGGUGGAGCGAAUCCCUUAAAGCCGGUCUCAGUUCGGAUCGGGGUCUGCAACUCGACCCCGUGAAGUCGGAGUCGCUAGUAAUCGCAGAUCAGCAACGCUGCGGUGAAUACGUUCCCGGGCCUUGUACACACCGCCCGUCACGUCAUGAAAGUCGGUAACACCUGAAGCCGGUGCGCCUAACCCCUUGUGGGAGGGAGCCGUUGACAAAGGGAAGUGGCCUUUAGAA